GAUGAACGCUGGCGGCGUGCUUAACACAUGCAAGUCGAACGGUGAAGCCAAGCUUGCUUGGUGGAUCAGUGGCGAACGGGUGAGUAACACGUGAGCAACCUGCCCUGGACUCUGGGAUAAGCGCUGGAAACGGUGUCUAAUACUGGAUAUGAACUCCUUCCGCAUGGUGGGGGUUGGAAAGAUUUUUCGGUCUGGGAUGGGCUCGCGGCCUAUCAGCUUGUUGGUGAGGUAAUGGCUCACCAAGGCGUCGACGGGUAGCCGGCCUGAGAGGGUGACCGGCCACACUGGGACUGAGACACGGCCCAGACUCCUACGGGAGGCAGCAGUGGGGAAUAUUGCACAAUGGGCGGAAGCCUGAUGCAGCAACGCCGCGUGAGGGAUGACGGCCUUCGGGUUGUAAACCUCUUUUAGCAGGGAGGAAGCUUUUGUGACGGUACCUGCAGAAAAAGCGCCGGCUAACUACGUGCCAGCCGCCGCCGUAA
rnacentral:rRNA from 1 species